UACCCAAUUUGCCACAGCCGUCGUGAGGCGGCGUCGGAAAGCCUAGGGUCUGGUUAGGAUGCCAGAUAGCCGGGCCGCCUCC
rnacentral:ncRNA from 1 species